GGCAAGAGGCCUGAGAGGGGCGGGUCCUAGGCAGCCAGGAGGGUCGGACUCGCAAUUCGUUGGGUCUCGGGAAUGAAGGAGUGGAGGGACCUGGCCUCAAGGCAACGAGCUCCGGGGCGGCUAGGGAGGAGAGACCAAAGAGCUAGAGUUGAGAGAGGCGGGACCUCAGGACGCGCGUGGGAUGGGGAUGGGAGGGCGUCGAAGGAGUGCUGGGUAGGGGCGUGGCCUAAUGGCGUGAGGCAAGAUAAAGGCGGGACCUCAAGAGUUGGAUAGGAGCAGAGAACCGAGGCUCUGACCGCAUCCCGGCAUCUCUGCAAGCAGCUAGCUGCCGGUGACCCCUCACGAAGUUCCCUUCUUCGCAGUGAUAGUUGCUUCCAAUGUCGCAGCGAGGGUCCACAGCAAAGAGUCAGUUAAGAAAAGUUGAGAGUGGGACGGGCGAAUUGCGGAAGAAUUCCCUUGCGGGGUUUAAGGGUGGCACAGCGGCCCAUCCAAGCUGGUGCUUCCCACCUGCCUGCGUCAACUUCCUGUUCAGCCCUUGGAAGACUGGGCCACCGAAGAAAAGUUUUGCUUCCCUGUCUGGCCUCCCAUGCUGAGCUCGUAUUUACUUCUUAUGGCCCCUUAUUUCCACCCCGCCCCCUUUAUUAUUGUUUAUUUGGACUCUUGAGAGUCUCUUCUGUGUAGCCAUGCUAUCCUGGAACUCGUCGUGUAGCCUGCCUUAGCCUCGAAGUAAUGAUAAUCCUUGUGGGUUGGUUUUAUAGAACUGAGCCAACUGCCCCCGCUUUAUCUUUCUGGUUGUUUAAUUUUAUUGUCUUUAUAAGGUCAUAUAUGAGUCAUCAUUUUAAAUUAAAUAUUACAUUCCUAUGCAAAUUUGAGAACAAACAUCUCCUUUACAAGGAAAGAGGUUAAUACUAAAACAAAAUAAGGGGCUGGCAAGAUAGAUCAGCCAGUGAGGGCUCUUACAGUCCAUCCUGAAGCCGAGCAUGGUUCAAGGAGAGAGCCAACUCCUCAAAUUGUACUCUGACCCCACUGGGCACUGUCUGGAAGAUUCAUAGAGGAGAUGUUUCAGGAAUUCAAACUGGAUCUGGUGCCUCAUGCUUGUGAUUCUAGCUACUCGGGAGGCUGCACGUUCAAGACCAGCGUGAUCAGUCAGUAACAUCCUGUUUCAGAGAUAUCUGAGCAGUAUCUCCACGAGGCCCUGGGUUCAAUCCAUAACAAAAAUGGUCGGGGAGGGUCAGACAUUCAGAGACGACCCAACCGGCUUGAUGAAAAAGCUACCUUUCACUGAACACAUUUCAAAUUCAUAAGACAGUAAGUGAAAUUAGGGAAACUGAAAAAGAGGAAGAAAAAACCAAGAAAGGAAGUAAUUUACAGCAAUCACAGAAAUGUAGCUCCAGAUUGCCAAAAGAAAAAUCUCAAAUAUAUAAAUGACUGUAAAAUGAACUAAACCGGGGGCAGAGCUUGUUUCUGUAACUCCAGGGCUGGGAUGAGAGAGGAUGAUACAGGGCAAGUAGAACCCUUGGGUCAGCCAUUCUAGCAGAAAGGUAAGCUCCAGAUUCACUGAGACCCAGUUACAAAAAAUAAGAUGGUGAGCGACUGAAGAAGAUGCCUGUGUUGGUUAGGUGGGUGUUUUGUUUUGUUUUUGACAACUUCAUGCAAGCUAGAGUAAACGGAGAGGGAACUUCAAUUAGGGCAAUCCGCCAUCAAAUUGGCCUGUAGGCAUGCCUACGGGACAUUUUCUUGAUUGAUAAUUGAUGUGGAAGGAUCCAGUCCAUGGUAGAAAAUGUCUUUGCCAGGAAAUAUAAGAAAGCAAACUGAAUAAGCCAGGGUAAAUAAGCCAGUAAGUAGGUGUUUCUCCCUCUCCUCUGCAUCAGUUCCUGCCUUCAGGUUCCUGUUUUGAGUUCCUGUGCUUUCUUCCCUUGAUGAUGGAUUGGGAGGUGAAAUAAACCCUAAGCUGGUGUUGGUUGGUAUUUUAUCACAGUAAUACAAAGCAGACUAAGACAGUGCCUAACAUUGGGCUUCCACCCAAAUACAUUGCAGGUACACAGAAACAACUGGCUUUUUAAAAUGAAAAUGGUCCUGGAGAGAUGGCUCGGCAGUUAUGAGCACAUGGUGACUAAUGACAGCCUUUAACUCCAGUUCCAGGGGGAGUCUCACAGCCUAUUCUGGCCUCGACAGGCACUGCAUGCCUGUGGUACACAGACAUACACACAAGCACAGCAUCCUACACAUAAAGGCUGGAGAGAUGGCUCAGCGGUUAAGAGCACCUGACUGCUCUUCCAGAGGUCAUGAGUUCAAUUCCCAGCAACCACAUGGUGGCUCACAACCAUCUGUAAAGAGAUCUGAUGCCCCCUUCUGGUGUAUCUGGAGACAGCUACAGUGUACUUAUAUAUAAUAAAUAAAAUAAAUAAAAUAAAAAAAAUCUGUUUACAAGUCAGUA